rnacentral:rRNA from 1 species
GAUGAACGCUGGCGGCGUGCUUAACACAUGCAAGUCGAACGGAAAGGCCGGAGCUUGCUUCGGUACUCGAGUUGCCAACGGGUAAGCAACCCGUAGGUGAUCUGUCCCGUACCUCGGGAUAUGCUUGGGCAACUUGGUCUAAUCCCGGCUAUGACAAAUCCUUUGUUGGGGUUCUGGAAUGCUUUUGCGUUAUGGGUUGAGAUCGCGGCCUAUCAGCUUGGUGGUGUGGUAUGGGCCUACCAAGGCGUCGACGCGUAGCCGGCCUGGGAUGGUCUACGGCCACAUUGGGACUGAGAUACGGCCCAGACUACUACGGGAGGCAGCAGUGCAGUAUAUUGCACAAUGCGCGCAAGCCUGAUGCAGCGACGCCGCGUGGGGGAUGACGGCCUUCGGGUUGUAUUCUACUUUCGCAACCGACGAGGCUUUUGUGACGGUAGGUUGAGAAGAAGCUCCGGCUAACUACGUG